rnacentral:rRNA from 1 species
GAUGAACGCUGGCGGCGUGCCUAAUACAUGCAAGUCGAGCGAACUUUUGGGAGCUUGCUCCCAAAAGUUAGCGGCGGACGGGUGAGUAACACGUGGGUAACCUGCCUGUAAGACUGGGAUAACUUCGGGAAACCGGAGCUAAUACCUGAUAACAUUGAAGACCACUUGGCCUUCAAUUAAACUGUGGCUUUUAGCUACCACUUACACAUAGACCCGCGGCGCAUUAGUUAGGUGGUGAGGUAACGGCUCACCAAGGCGACGAUGCGUAGCCGACCUGACAGGGUGAUCGGCCACACUGGGACUGAGACACGGCCCAGACUCCUACGGGAGGCAGCAGGAGGGAAUCUUCCGAAAUGGACGGAAGUCUGACGGAGGAACGCCGCGUGAGCGAAGAAGGCCUUCGGGUCGGAAAGCUCUGUUGUUAGGGAAGAACAAGUAUCGUUCGAAUAGGGCGGUACCUUGACGGUACCUAAACAGAAAGCCACGGCUAACUACGUG